rnacentral:rRNA from 1 species
CCUCGGUGGCUGCAGUGGGGAAUAUUGGACAAUGGGCGAAAGCCUGAUCCAGCCAUGCCGCGUGUGUGAAGAAGGCCUUCGGGUUGUAAAGCACUUUCAGUGGGGAAGAAAGCCUUGGGGCUAAUACCCUCGAGGAAGGACAUCACCCACAGAAGAAGCACCGGCUAACUCCGUGCCAGCAGCCGCGGUAAUACGGAGGGUGCGAGCGUUAAUCGGAAUUACUGGGCGUAAAGCGCGCGUAGGCGGUCUGAUAAGCCGGUUGUGAAAGCCCCGGGCUCAACCUGGGAACGGCAUCCGGAACUGUCAGGCUAGAGUGCAGGAGAGGAAGGUAGAAUUCCCGGUGUAGCGGUGAAAUGCGUAGAGAUCGGGAGGAAUACCAGUGGCGAAGGCGGCCUUCUGGACUGACACUGACGCUGAGGUGCGAAAGCGUGGGUAGCAAACAGGAUUAGAUACCCCGGUAGUC